GACGCCUCUUUCUUUCCUGGGCAGGAGCUUCCUCUUGCCUCACACACGUUGUCAAGAAAGAACAAGCUCAAACGGACUCAUUGGCUCCCUGGGACGGCGAACCCAGCCUUGAUUACAGUUUUGAGCUCUCCCGGGAAUGUGGCCUUUUAACAAUCAGACAUCCAUCCUUCCCCCGCCCCAGCAGCCCUGAUGAGGUCACCUGAAUGAUGCUGCACACACGGUAAGGGGCGUCCACCGGAACCCCCCUGCCCCCAGAUGGGGGACAUCUCCCACGGAGGAUGCUCUGAAAUGCGGUGUGUCCAGCCUCGACCUCGGACUUUACCGGCACCUGAAUCCCCGCCCCAUCCUCCGACUUGCAAAAUCUCGACCACCCUGGAAGUGGGAACGUCUAGCAAAACUAUGGUACAGUGUCACAGCUGGGACACGGACAUGGAUGCUGGCAAGACACAAGUCGCUUUCACCACCACCCGGAUCCCUCAGGAUGGCUCACUUCCCUUUGCUACCCACGCCCCCAAACCCUGGCAUGCCGUCAUCGGUUCUCCAUUUGCGUAAUUUUCUCAUAUCCGUGGAAUCAUACAUUCUGUAACCUUUAGAAAUUGGCUUUUUUUUCCCUUUUUUGACUCAGCAUAACUUCCCAGUGAUCUAUCCACAUUCCUGUAUUGGGCCAAUACUCUGCUCCGUGUUAUUACUGAGUGGGAUGGAGAGGUGUGGGUGGACCUCAGUUUGCUUAAAACACUCACCCUUGAUGAACAUUUUGGUUGUUUCCAGUUCCUGAUUAUUGCAAAUAA